GAUGAACGCUGGCGGCGUGCCUAAUACAUGCAAGUCGAGCGAACAGACGAGGAGCUUGCUCCUCUGACGUUAGCGGCGGACGGGUGAGUAACACGUGGAUAACCUACCUAUAAGACUGGGAUAACUUCGGGAAACCGGAGCUAAUACCGGAUAAUAUAUUGAACCGCAUGGUUCAAUAGUGAAAGACGGUUUUGCUGUCACUUAUAGAUGGAUCCGCGCCGCAUUAGCUAGUUGGUAAGGUAACGGCUUACCAAGGCAACGAUGCGUAGCCGACCUGAGAGGGGGAUAGGCGACACUGGAACGUAGCCGCGGUCCAGACGCCUACGGGAGGCAGCAGUAGGGAAUCUUCCGCAAUGGGCGAAAGUUUGACGGAGCAACGCCGCGUGAGUGACGAAGGUCUUCGGAUCGUAAAACUCUGUUAUUAGGGAAGAACAAAUGUGUAAGUAACUAUGCACGUCUUGACGGUACCUAAUCAGAAAGCAACGGCUAACUACGUG
rnacentral:rRNA from 1 species